CACACCGAUCCGCUAACUCACUCGCAAGGCAGGAGCGGGGGACCCAGGUAAGUCGCCGGGCCGGGCAUCGCCCCGGUACGGCUUGGGGUGAAGUCGUGUGCCGUGGCACACGGCCGGGCACCUCCCAGCCCGAACCCGACAGCUCACCUCGCAGGCGCCGGAGAGGAAAUUC
rnacentral:sRNA from 2 species